rnacentral:misc_RNA from 1 species
GAAAUGCGAUAAGUAAUGUGAAUUGCAGAAUUCAGUGAAUCAUCGAAUCUUUGAACGCACAUUGCGCCCGACAGUAUUCUGGCGGGCAUGCCUAUCCGAGCGUCAUUUCAACCAUCAAGCCCCCGGGCUUGUGUUGGGGACCUGCGGCUGCCCGCAGGCCCUGAAAACCAGUGGCGGGCUCGCUGUCACACCGAGCGUAGUAGCAAUCACCUCGCUCAGGGCGUGCUGCGGGUUCCGGCCGUUAAACAGCCUUACAAAACCCAAGGUUGACCUCGGAUCAGGUAGGAAGACCCGCUGAACUUAAGC